rnacentral:misc_RNA from 1 species
GUGAAUCAUCGAAUCUUUGAACGCAAAUUGCACUCUCUGGUACUCCGGAGAGUAUGCCUGUUUGAUGGUUAGUAUAAAAAAAUAUCGUGGUGCUGUUUAUGGUGACGCCAUCGGAAUUGGGUUACUUUUAAUCUUAAUAAAGUUUCAAAGUGACCUAAAAUUGACGUUACCUUGUGCAUCUCAAGACGCACAUAAGAAUUUUUUUUUUAUCCGUCCGGCGUUUGCCAAAUCUU